AUCACUUAAAUCUACCUUUUUUUUUAAUACUGUUCAGGGAUCUUAUUGAGCUCUGUUAGUUCAAUUUGACGAAAAAGUGUGUUGUGUAGGAUACAUGGGAUCCUGAUGUUGCAGCUUCACGGAAGAUGGAAAGCCUCAUGAUCAAUACAGUCUGGAAGCUGUGAUAUGCUAUGAAAAGGAACUGUUUUAAGGGCAUCGUCUUUGGGUACGCUUUAACAAUUUUGAUAAAGUCGUCCUCCAGGUUACAGGAAAAGAUGUACCUCAAUACAUAACAUCAUUCGAAGAAGCCGGCCUGCGCCAACUACUACGUCAAAACAUUAAGAAUUCUGGCUACAUAAAACCAACACCUAUUCAGAAAGCUUCAGUUGCAGUUAUUCUUGCCAAAAGAGAUUUAAUUGCUUGUGCUGUCACGGGCUCCGGCAAAACGGCGGCGUACUUGGUACCGGUUAUGAACAUAUUGUUAGAACAAGGUGUUGCUGGUGCGCCUCAUGCCAUGGGGCAAAAGCCAGAAGUUGUAAUUGUCGCACCCACUCGUGAAUUGGGCAUUCAAAUUGACCGCGAGGCGUGUAAAUUCUCCUACAGUUCGGUUUUAAAGUCUGUGAUUAUAUAUGGAGGAACUCUCACGAGCCAUCAGCGGUCAAAUCUUCAAGCUGGGUGCAAUAUUUUUGCCGCGACCGCGGGGCGAUUCAAGGAGUUUUCGACCUUGAAGUAUUUGACUUCUCGGGAGUCAGGUUUUAAGUUUUGGUUGAUGCUGAUCGAAUGCUUGAUAUGGGUUUCGGUCCCAAUGUUGAAAAGAUUGUUAAUCAUCCAACGAUGCAUCCGAAAGGAAUCCGUCGUGUUUGUAUGUUUUCGGCUACAUUCCUAGAUGAAGUACAAGCGCUGGCUGCGACGUACAUGGAAGACUACAUAUUCUUCACAACAGGCAUUGUUGGUUGCACCAAUUCGGAUGUUGAACAGGUGUUUUUUUCAGUGCACGAAAAGAGAUAAGAGAGCUAAGCUGAUCGAAGUUUUACAAGAUCUCGGUAAUGCCAAGACUAUCGUUUUUGUCGACAGCAAAAAGACGGCGGACUUCGUCGCUGCAUUCUCGUGCAAUAACAACUUACAAUCUACCAGCAUCCAUGGUGAGCGUAAACGAAAAUCGUAAAUGUCUCUUCCGAAGCUUCUGUCAGAAGAAUAUGCUAGGAAUCAACUCACGAAUCAUAUGAACAAUAAAAGCCGAUGGCGAGGUGACGAAGAAAACAACACGUCGAGGUGCUGUCAAACGUGUCUCCGUUCCGGAGAAGGAAGCGCCUGAAGGCAAAAGGCGUCGUGGUGAAACGAAAGCCAAUAAACACGUUGCUGGAUUGGAUGAUGUAGAAAUGUUACACGAAGGGAACCGACACGCUGUCGACAUCCAUGCCAAUCACGUGCCAGAUGAGCCGGAGGCGAACGAUGGAUCGCGAGUCACAUCCGUCAAAAAUGGACGAUCUACUUGCGCAAAGGGCGCACUCAAAGUUCAUUUUGACGUGGCCGAAACGGCGCAUUCGCCAGUCAGAUCACCCGUUCGACGCGGAAGACAGCUUCACCGGCUGAGAAGAAAGUCUCUGUCCAGCUGGAACGCGACCCCGACCAUUGAGACUGUGGCCGCCACU